CUGAUUGGUGUUUUCUGGUUGAUGAUUAAAUCCUUAAUUGCUUUCAAUUUAUCGAUAUCUUGGUCGGUAAAAGGCCUGUCAAUGCAACACAAAGCCCGAUAAACUUUCAUCUUAUCCGUUUCACCGGCUCUCAAUUUUGAUCACUAAUGGUAAUUACUUGAGGUUUAAUUAGUUCAAUAACAAAUGGCCUUCCAUCACCAAGCAUCCUUACAUCAACAUCUUCACGGCCACUGGAACUGAAUCUGGCUUCUAAUUGGUUAAUGAGACAUGAAAAACAAGUAACAAUUAAACGGAAAAUUAAAUGACAAACAAAUUAACUAUUAAAUAAAACAAACCAAAUAACCAAAUUAACUAAAUUUCACAAUUUGAAAAAUUUUCCAAUUACAAGUCCACCAGUGAACACAAAUCUCUUCAAACAUUGUAAAGGUAAAACCUCAUUACCUUGGUUUUAUUUUCUUUCCUUUUAUUCACAAUUAAAUCGAUCACAAUUAACUUACUUUCAAA